rnacentral:rRNA from 1 species
UACGUAGGUGGCAAGCGUUGUCCGGAUUUACUGGGCGUAAAGAGCGCGCAGGCGGUCGGAUAAGUCGAAUGUGAAAGCCCCCGGCUCAACUGGGGAGGGUCAUUCGAUACUGUUCGACUCGAAGGCAGGAGAGGGAAGUGGAAUUCCCGGUGUAGUGGUGAAAUGCGUAGAUAUCGGGAGGAACACCAGUGGCGAAGGCGGCGCUCUGGGCCGGUACUGACACUGAGGAGCGAAAGCGUGGGUAGCAAACAGG